rnacentral:rRNA from 1 species
CUCGGCAAUUCCCGUUCUUCAUCUAUUUAACCCCCCUUGUGCACUGUGAAGCGAGGUUGAUUGGAGUGCAAGCGAUUGCACUUGAAGAGACUAAGCUUUCAUUAUACAAACUCAAUUAUUGUCUUGUGGAAUGGUCAUAACAAAUGAUAAUACAACUUUCAACAACGGAUCUCUUGGCUCUCGCAUCGAUGAAGAACGCAGCGAAAUGCGAUAAGUAAUGUGAAUUGCAGAAUUCAGUGAAUCAUCGAAUCUUUGAACGCACCUUGCGCUCCUUGGUAUUCCGAGGAGCAUGCCUGUUUGAGUGUCAUGAUACUCUCAAUCUUAUUGAUUUUUGUUAAUGAGAUUGGAUGUGGAGGUCUGCUGGCUCCUAUUAUAGAGCCGGCUCCUCUGGAAUGCAUUAGCUGGGCUUUUGCUCGAUGCAACAGUGUAAUAAUAUUAUUGAUCACUGUGAAUGUAUCCUGCAUAACAAGUCUGCUUCGAAUCCGUCUCUCUCUACAAGAGAGACACUAUGGGAACUCGGUUCUCUGAUCUCUUUGACCUCAAAUCAGGUAGGACUACCCGCUGAACUUAAGCAUAUCAAUAAGCGGAGGA